rnacentral:rRNA from 1 species
AUUGAACGCUGGCGGCAGGCCUAACACAUGCACGUCGAGCGGAGCGGCGGACGGGUGAGUAAUGCCUAGGAAUCUGCCUGGUAGUGGGGGAUAAAGUCCGGAAACGGGCGCUAAUACCGCAUACUAUCAGAUGAGCCUAGGUCGGAUUAGCUAGUUGGUGGGGUAAAGGCCGACCAAGGCGACGAUCCGUAACUGGUCUGAGAGGAUGAUCAGUCAUAAUGGAACUGAGACACGGUCCAGACUCCUACGGGAGGAAGCAGUGGAGAAUAUUGGACAAUGGGCGAAAGCCUGAUCCAGCCAUGCCGCGUGUGUGAAGAAGGUCUUAGGAUGGUAAAGCACUUUAAGGUGGGAGGCGUUACCAGCAGAAUAAGCACCGGCUAACUUCGUGCCAGCCGCCGCGGUAAUUC